CCCUUAGACGUUCGGGGCCGCACGCGCGCUACACUGAAGGAAUCAGCACGUCUUUCUCCUUGUCCGAAAGGACUGGGUAACCCGCUGAACCUCCUUCGUGCUAGGGAUUGGGGCUUGUAAUUCUUCCCCAUGAAUGAGGAAUUCCCAGUAAGCGCGAGUCAUAAGCUCGCGUUGAUUACGUCCCUGCCCUUUGUACACACCGCCCGUCGCUACUACCGAUUGGAUGGUUUAGUGAGAUCCUCGGAUUGGUCCCGGAGCGGCCUCUGGUCGUGCCGGAGUGCCGAAAAGAAUGUCGAACUUGAUCAUCUAGAGGAAGUAAAAGUCGUAACA
rnacentral:rRNA from 1 species